rnacentral:rRNA from 1 species
UACGAAGGGUGCUAGCGUUGUUCGGAAUCACUGGGCGUAAAGCGCGCGUAGGCGGCUUAUCAAGUCAGGGGUGAAAUCCUUGGGCUCAACCCAAGAAUUGCCUUUGAAACUGAUAAGCUAGAGUACUGGAGGGGAUAGCGGAAUUGCUAAUGUAGCGGUGAAAUGCGUAGAUAUUAGCAGGAACACCGGUGGCGAAGGCGGGUCUCUGGGCCGAUACUGACGCUGAGGAGCGAAAGCGUGGGGAGCAAACAGG